rnacentral:snRNA from 1 species
GAGUGUUAUAGCUCUUUUAGAAUUUGUCUAGCAGGUUUUCCGAUCCUCACUGGAAAGCUUUA